AACUCUUAUUGAAUAACUCAGCAUAAGAGCGACAGCAGCAGCCACUGAGGAACCAUUACCAUGCAGGGAUACACAUGGAGUUCAAAUCAGCAUCCUUCAACAAGGCACCAAGAUUGGCCUCCACCUCAAUACCAAGAACGACUUCCUCCUCAGUACCAAAAAUGGCAUCAACCUCAGUACCAGGAACAAUUCCCAUCUAAGUACCAUGCUGUCAAGAAUGAUCAACCCAAUGCAUUCCAGGUACAGCACAUCCCCCAACUUCAAAACACAUUACAGACAAGAUUUUCCAAUGGACAACAAGAGGCUGCAAAUCAGUGGAGCACUUGCUCAGGCAGUGUGGACCCUUCUGCUUUUCAACCAAAAUCAGAUGGAUAUAAUUGGUUGAAACGGACAAACCAGAUCCAUCCCCAAUACCCAUUUGCAGCCUCCAACACACAGCAGCACUGGCAAUGUCAUGAUUCCUCUCCACAGAACUACAGAAACGCAGGCUGUAGUCAAGCUCAAAUGUACCAUGGCAGCUCUGUGGGUAACAGCAGGGGUUGGAGUUCACACAUUUCCAACAAUGGCAGCUCUUGUUCCAUGAACAACCAGCAACAACUUCAGUCUCCUAGAAUGGUUCCUCUUCAUCAUCACCAUCACCAUCAUCAUCGACAACAACAACAAGGGUUCUCUAGACAAUAUUCAGGCAAAAAACGAAGACGCCACACACAAUACUCUUCUCGGGCCCAUAACAGUGGAGUCCCCCAAAAAUCUCAGAGGAGAACUGAGGCCAAUCAUACCUCAUGCAACUCUACGACACCACCUUCUGGAGCACAGAGCAAUGUUUCAUUACCUUCCAAUAACAUAAACCAAAGUCCUGUUAACCAGAACCAGCCAGAACUGGGGUCAAAUGCAGGUCCAAUUGUAUCUGCGACCCAGUCUCAGAAUAAUCAAAAUGCUGAACAUCAGUCUCAGGGCACAAGCAAUGAGACAUAUAAAACUAAUCAGACUUCUCAAAUGACACAGGCCAGUGUAGUCCAGCUUCAGCCCCAAUCUAGAACUGAGUUUAACUUGUCAGUUUACGCUGACUCAGUAAUAUAUAGAUUACUGUGUUCAAAUGACAGUAAACAAGCAAAUAAUCGGCAAUCAGAUGAAAUUGCUCAGCAGAACACUCGUCCAGAACAGUCCGAAGUUUGUGCAACCAAAAGGACUGACAAUCACUCAAAGGAACCUUUUUCUGAACCAAGAGAACAAUGUACAGUUGAACCGCCCAGUAAAAGAAUGAAGUAUGUUGUGUUUCAGAGAGACUGUCAGAACAAAGAAACAAUAGUGUCCAAAGACAUAAGUAAUUGUGGGGUGCAAUCUGCCCAACCUGGUACCCAUCAGACAAGUAGCAAUGAGAACAGACUUAAAGGAACGAGCCAACACAACAUAGAGUACAGUACGAACCCAGCAGACUGUCUUGAAAUGGUCUUUGCAUCACAGAAAGCUGCUCAGCAAACUCACAAGGCCAUUGCCAUCGUUCCACCCAUUUCCCACCACAUCUCAAAAGCUGCACCAAUGGCUGAUACCAGCCCAAAAAAAGCUGACAGUCCACUGUUAAAGAUUGAUUCUGUUUGGUCACAUGUUGAAGAAUCUAACCAACAAAAAACUGUAAAUGACAAGCUGUCUGAAUCCUCCUCACAAAUGGCUCAACAGGACAACAAAAGCCUUGAAAAUGUGACUGCAGGCAACAUGGCAGACCCUGAUACAAGCUCUGCUAGCCCAGUUGAAUGUCAAAAUGAUGUGCAGCAAAGUGACUGUGAUUCAGAUGAUCCUUCAUUUGACUUGUCCAGUGUGCCAGUGAUUGAGUACACACUGGAGAAACUGAUGGAGUUAGUGAAGUCUAUAGAGAUGACAGAGUUAUCGGCCGGAUAUCCUGAGAAAUCUCAGAGCAUUUUACAAAGGAUCUUGAAACUCUACUGGAACGGGAAAGCUUCCAAUAUGUUGGAGCCUUUGAAAUCAUUUAGAGAGGCACUGCAGUUAUCCAUAGAAUAUGCAAAGGAUUAUGGGUCUGUGGUAUUUAAAAGCAUCGAAACUGAAAACCUGAAGAAGCUAGCUCAUUGCGACAUUCUCAAACAUGAGACGUAUUCAUGGUCAGAGGAGUUCAGAUCUUCUUGGUUAAAUGUUGAUGGACAGCCAGCUGAUAUUGAAAAGGUGCUUUCAGAACCACUGUUGGAUGACAUAACUGUGUAUAAGGCAACAUCACUGUCAUUUUCAGAUAACACUGUUGUCGCUUCAGCAAGUUUAGGUGUGAAUUCCCUCACAGACAAACCUGAGGUUUCAUCCGAGGAGAAAAGUGUAAAUCCAGACACUUGCAGUCCAACAGAUCUUUUCAUACAAAAGACAGGAACUGACAGGGGGGAAGUGGCUGUGGAAAACAAUGGGCAUUCGUAUGUAGUGCUGAGAAAAGAAAGUGAGAAAGAAACAUUCAAGAAGCAAGAGGACAUCAAUCAAAACCAAAUUUUUAACAUAACACCUUUAGACAUCACACCUUCAGCUGAAAGUUCUACAGAGAAACUUACAGACCUCAGCAAUGCAAAAGAAGUAUUCAGACAAGAUCACAAGCAAACACGUGAUAAUGUUUCAGAUUCACUUUCUCUGAGUACUGGAGACAUUGUUUCAGAUGGUGUAAAAAUCUCUGUGGUGUCUUUCUCUACUGAGACUCAUUGUAGCUCCAUGGAUACAUGGCAGGUAGAAGAUAUUUCUGAUGAUGAAAAUCCAGGCAACAAGGAGGCUCUUAAUAACACCCCAGACACCUGGCUAGUAGAAGAUAUUUCUGAUGAUGAAAAUUCUGGAAAUAAAGAUGUUCUUCUUAAUUCCUCAAACACCUGGCAAGUGGAAAACAUCUCUGAUAAUGAGAAUCCAGACAAUAUGGACACUCCUAGUAACUCCGCAGACAUAUGUGCGGUGGAAAAUAAAUCUACUGAUGAAAAUUCAAGUGAUGAUUCCUUGUUUAUGGGAAUCACGGUGCUAUCAUCUGAAGAUGCUAAAACAUUUUUUCAACAGCUUGAAAAGGAACCUGAAUGUACCAAAUCCCAAUCCAACUUUAAGUGCCCAGAUCUUAUAGUGUGCUUUGAUGCACCCAGUCAACUUAACCAGGAGUACAACAAAGCACAUACUUGCUCUCGCUGUGGUACCCAAAUUGUGAAAUCCAGUUCCACUAAUGUGACAAAGACGGACAGUGAUGCUGAUCUUUUCUGCCUCCAGUGUUGGGAACAAGCACCAAUGUUUGAGCUAGAAGAGGAGCCAUGCUCUCCUAUGACAGAUGAGGUUAAUCUUCUGGGCUCUGCUGCUAAAUCAAAUGAACUUGGUCAAAAUGAUAGUCUGCCAUGUCUCAAGUUGGAAGUCAAUGAGCCAAAUGUGGCUUCAACAAAGGAAUGCAUUGCAUAUGAAGGACUGAAAGGACAAAAAAAUUAUUGUCUGGUAAAAUCAGACCUGGGGGGAAAUUGUGGUCCACCAUCUCUUAAAAUAGAAGUCAAGGAGUUAAAUGCACCCAAUGAAGAAUGUAUUGCGGAUGAAGGACUGGCAGGACAAAAGAGUGUGGUUUUGGUAAAAUCAGAACAGGGACACAAUUGUAGUCCGCCGUCUCUUGAACUGAAAUUCAAGAAGCCAAAUGUUUCUCCACUGGAGACAUGCAUUGUAGAGGAAGGAGUGACGGGACAAAAAAGAGUCAGUAUGUUAAAAUCAGAACUGGUAAAAAAACGUAGUCCACCAUCUCUUGAACUAGAAAUCAAGGAGCCAACAGUUGCUUUGACAACAGAAUGCAUUGCAGAUGAAGGACAAAAAAGUGACAGUGUAAUACAAUCAGAACUGAGACAAAAAUGUAGUCUGCCAUCUCUUGAACUAGAAGUCAAGAUGCCAAAAGUUUCUUUUCCAGAGGAAUGCAUUGCAGAUGAAGGACUGAAAGGACUUAAAAGAGACACUGAGGCAAAAUCAAAAAUGGGACAAAAUCAUUGUUCACCAUCUCUUGAACUGAAAGUCAAGGAGUCAAAUUUUGCUUUACAAAAGUCAUGCAUUGCAGAUGAAGGACUGAUAGGUCAAAAAAGUGACUGCAUGAGAGAAUCAAAAGGACAAAAUUGUAAUCCACCAUGUCUUAAACUAGAAAUCAAGGAGCCAACUGUUACUUCAGCAGAGGACUGCACUGCAGAUAAAGGACUUGCAAGACAAAAAAUUGACAGUAUGGUAAAAUCAGUGACUGAGACGAUGUCUGAAAAUCAGGGCUUAGCUGAACGGGAGCUAACCAAGAUUCAACCAAAUAAGCAGAAAAAUGAAAAAACUGAGAAAAUUAGAGUACCCAAGCCCAAAUCGUUCACGCAAUGCAGCAAACUAUUUCCAAAGAAAACUGCAUUUUCCAAGCAUAAGCUAAAAUCUGGUAGCACUAGUACUGGUUCUGAUGAUUAUGUGCUUUUCACUCCAGAUAUUAUAGUUAAAAAGAACUGGCCACAAAAGAAAAAUCAACCUGGUGUAUCUGCAAACAAACGCCGUAGUGGUCAGAGUCAGAACUGCAGUAAAGUGAAUAAAUUCAAAGAACACAGGAAAGAAAGACGAGAUAAUCCUGACAGAACCUCAACAAACCAUAGAGAAAACCUCCAGACAGUGACAGAGAAAGUGUCUGGUCAAUCAAGUGACACACCACCCCACGGAUCAGAAAAUAAGCUGGAGCUGCAUGGUAUUCUGUUAGUGAAUAAAAUGAAAAGAACUGAACCAAAAAAAGUGAGGUUUGAUUUAUAUGGGUCCAAAACAGAAAAGCAGUACUAUGCCCCAGAGCGGCAUUUUUCAGCCCCUGCUACCUUAACAGUCUCUGAUUGCAAAGACUAUGCCGAUGUGCUUUCUGCUAAACAAAAAGUUCACAACCAAUGGAGUAGCACCUUCAUACCUAAAACAAAGAAGACUUGUCCUCCCAGGUCACCACAGGAGGGCUCACCACAGAAGAAAACCCCACAGAAACCUCAGGACCUCUUAAAGUCAAAUAUGAGUGCAUUAAGAAACCAUUUGACUCACAGAGCCAAGCUAUUAUACAGCAGUGAAAGAGAGACAAGUCACUUAAGAAAACCAUAUUUUCAUCAAAAGCUUACGAAAUCACUAAGUAGCUAA
ensembl:lncRNA